CUUGUUUUAUAGGUACAUCGGAGCAAAGGAAUUGUCGUUCCCAAGAGGUUGUACAAUCACCCCAUGGGCUUGAAAAGACAGACCACUUUUGUUCGUGAGGCGGCCGUUACCAUUUUUUAUACAGCAGGCCAAGUCGGUAGAAGUGUUACUGGUGCAGCCUCCAAUCGGUCUAAAGGGGAGGCGAAAUCUCCCUAGGAGAAAGAAACAUAUGCUGUGUUUUCAGAUUUCUUCAACCAUUUUUUGAAGCACACCGUUCUGAUUGGAAAGGUUGAACAAAUGAAGAAGCUCCUCAAUAAAGCUUUGGCAAACAAAAUUAUUGACUUUAUGAAAUCAAAAGAUUAACCAAGGAAUGGCACAUCAAAUAAAAUAUUUUGUUUGA
rnacentral:lncRNA from 1 species